rnacentral:rRNA from 1 species
GACGAACGCUGGCGGCGUGCCUAAUACAUGCAAGUCGAGCGAAUCAAUGGGAGCUUGCUCCCUGAGAUUAGCGGCGGACGGGUGAGUAACACGUGGGUAACCUGCCUGUAAGAUUGGGAUAACUCCGGGAAACCGGAGCUAAUACCGGAUAAUAUUUCGAACCGCAUGGUUCAAAAUUGAAAGAUGGUUUCGGCUAUCAC